rnacentral:rRNA from 1 species
GACGUAGGGCGCGAGCGUUGUCCGGAUUUAUUGGGCGUAAAGAGCUCGUAGGCGGCUUGUCGCGUCGAAUGUGAAAACUCGGGGCUCAACUCCGAGCUUGCAUUCGAUACGGGCAGGCUAGAGUUCGGUAGGGGAGACUGGAAUUCCUGGUGUAGCGGUGAAAAUGCGCAGAUAUCAGGAGGAACACCGAUGGCGAAGGCAAUCCCCUGGACCCUGUACUGACGCUCA